UACGUAGGUGGCGAGCGUUGUCCGGAUUUACUGGGCGUAAAGGGCGCGUAGGCGGCCCGCUAAGUCGAACGUGAAAUCCCCAGGCUCAACCUGGGAACUGCGUCCGAUACUGGCAGGCUUGAAUCCGGGAGAGGGAUGUGGAAUUCCAGGUGUAGCGGUGAAAUGCGUAGAUAUCUGGAGGAACACCGGUGGCGAAGGCGGCAUCCUGGACCGGUAUUGACGCUGAGGCGCGAAAGCUAGGGGAGCAAACGGG
rnacentral:rRNA from 1 species